AGUGAACGCUGCGGUAGGCCUAACACAUGCAAGUCGAACGGCAGCACAGUAAGAGCUUGCUCUUACGGGUGGCGAGUGGCGGACGGGUGAGGAAUACAUCGGAAUCUACUUUUUCGUGGGGGAUAACGUAGGGAAACUUACGCUAAUACCGCAUACGACCUACGGGUGGAAGCAGGGGAUCUUCGGACCUUGCGCGAUUGAAUGAGCCGAUGUCGGAUUAGCUAGUUGGCGGGGUAAAGGCCCACCAAGGCGAUGAUCCGUAGCUGGUCUGAGAGGAUGAUCAGCCACACUGGAACUGAGACACGGUCCAGACUCCUACGGGAGGCAGCAGUGGGGAAUAUUGGACAAUGGGCGCAAGCCUGAUCCAGCCAUACCGCGUGGGUGAAGAAGGCCUUCGGGUUGUAAAGCCCUUUUGUUGGGAAAGAAAAGCAGCAGGUUAAUACCCCGCUGUUCUGACGGUACCCAAAGAAUAAGCACCGGCUAACUUCGUG
rnacentral:rRNA from 1 species